CUUUCAUUAGAUGAUAUUAAUAUUUUAUUAAUUUUUAUCAAUAAUAAUAUUAUUAUAAAAUAAUAAGAUUGUGAUCCUUAAUAAGAAAAAAAAGUAUUGCAUAUAGGGGAUACUUAAAUGGGAUACAAUAUGAUUAUUAGUGGUAGGGGUUGUGAUCCGAUCGAAUCGGAUCAGAUACCGAUUUGGUAAAAUACAGUAUAUC
rnacentral:lncRNA from 1 species